UACGUAGGGGGCAAGCGUUGUCCGGAUUUAUUGGGCGUAAAGAGCGUGUAGGCGGCCUGGUAUGUCUGCUGUGAAAACUCGAGGCUUAACCUCGAGAUGUCGGCGGAAACCAUCUGGCUAGAGUCCGGAAGAGGAGAAUGGAAUUCCCGGUGUAGCGGUGAAAUGCGCAGAUAUCGGGAAGAACACCCGUGGCGAAGGCGGUGCUCUGGGACGGUACUGACGCUGAGACGCGAAAGCGUGGGGAGCGAACAGG
rnacentral:rRNA from 1 species